rnacentral:rRNA from 1 species
AUUGAACGCUGGCGGCAGGCCUAACACAUGCAAGUCGAACGAGUGGCGGACGGGUGAGUAAUGUCUGGGAAACUGCCCGAUGGAGGGGGAUAACUACUGGAAACGGUAGCUAAUACCGCAUACUAUCGGAUGUGCCCAGAUGGGAUUAGCUAGUAGGUGGGGUAAUGGCUCACCUAGGCGACGAUCCCUAGCUGGUCUGAGAGGAUGACCAGCCAAACUGGAACUGAGACACGGUCCAGACUCCUACGGGAGGCAGCAGUGGGGAAUAUUGCACAAUGGGCGCAAGCCUGAUGCAGCCAUGCCGCGUGUAUGAAGAAGGCCUUCGGGUUGUAAAGUACUUUCAGCGAGGAGGCGUUACUCGCAGAAGAAGCACCGGCUAACUCCGUGCCAGCCGCCGCGGUAAUAC